rnacentral:rRNA from 2 species
GGGUGGUAAUGCCGGAUGCUCCAGUUGAUCGCAUGGUCUUCUGGGAAAGCUUUCGCGGUAUGGGAUGGGGUCGCGUCCUAUCAGCUUGACGGCGGGGUAACGGCCCACCGUGGCUUCGACGGGUAGCCGGCCUGAGAGGGCGACCGGCCACAUUGGGACUGAGAUACGGCCCAGACUCCUACGGGAGGCAGCAGUGGGGAAUAUUGCACAAUGGGCGCAAGCCUGAUGCAGCGACGCCGCGUGAGGGAUGGAGGCCUUCGGGUUGUAAACCUCUUUUAUCGGGGAGCAAGCGAGAGUGAGUUUACCCGUUGAAUAAGCACCGGCUAACUACGUGCCAGCAGCCGCGGUAAUACGUAGGGUGCAAGCGUUAUCCGGAAUUAUUGGGCGUAAAGGGCUCGUAGGCGGUUCGUCGCGUCCGGUGUGAAAGUCCAUCGCUUAACGGUGGAUCCGCGCCGGGUACGGGCGGGCUUGAGUGCGGUAGGGGAGACUGGAAUUCCCGGUGUAACGGUGGAAUGUGUAGAUAUCGGGAAAGAACACCA